AAAGAAUGAUGUGGACAUUUCCUUAGUAGCUCCUUAUACCUUUCCCAAGCCUUGUAAAGAGAUUUGGUUUCUUGCUGUACAAAAGUAGUGAUUUCAUUCCUCAUUCU